rnacentral:rRNA from 1 species
UACGGAGGGGCUAGCGUUGUUCGGAAUUACUGGGCGUAAAGCGCACGUAGGCGGCUUUGCAAGUCAGAGGUGAAAGCCCGGGGCUCAACCCCGGAAUUGCCUUUGAGACUGCAUCGCUAGAAUUGUGGAGAGGUAAGUGGAAUUCCGAGUGUAGAGGUGAAAUUCGUAGAUAUUCGGAAGAACACCAGUGGCGAAGGCGACUUACUGGACACAUAUUGACGCUGAGGUGCGAAAGCGUGGGGAGCAAC